AAUGGACUUUCUUCUUAGCUGGGAACUGCAGGUACAACUGAUGGUACAACAGAUGUGGUUGUAGAUGUAGAUGUAGACGAAGUACUCGAAGAGGAUGAAUGAAGAACAGAAGAAUCUUCCUUGGGAAAAAAGGCUGGUUUCAGACGUUCCGUUGAGACGUUGACCAAUUUUCCUGAAAUGUCAAUAGUAAACAAAAAAUCAGAAAUUCGUUUGUUAACAAGAAAAGGACCAGAAUAAGGUGCUUGAAGAGAUUUCUUAACAGCAUCUUCACGAAGCCAAACAUGAGUACAAUCGUAAAGAUUUUUGUGUACAAAAGGAUCUGCUGGAAAAUCUUCCUCAA